UAGAGCUGGGCGUGGGCACUACUCUCCUCAUCCCCUCCGCUCUCUCUGGGAAGCACAUUGUUCAACGCGGGCACAUUAUAGGACCCAGGACCAAUGAAUGCCUUGGUGCAGUUUAGCUACUUAAAAUUACACCGUUUCUUACAGUGAAUAGGACGCAAAUACCUGAAGAAACGGGGAAAGAGACUCGGAAUAUUUUGUGGCUUUUUUCCGAUUUCAGCGGAGAAGCAAAACAAUUGAAAGAUUUUCUUCUUCCUCUCCGGUAGAAACGCCGCUCCUGUCGCCAAUAGACCUCUGCCUGUUCAGCGGUGGUUGUGUGUGAGUGUGUGGUUGAGCUGCAGCUGCGAACAUGACGGAGUAUAAGCUGGUGGUGGUGGGAGCUGGAGGCGUGGGCAAGAGUGCACUUACCAUACAGCUGAUCCAGAACCACUUUGUGGAUGAAUAUGACCCCACAAUAGAGGACUCAUACAGGAAGCAGGUUGUGAUCGACGGGGAGACCUGCCUGUUGGACAUCCUGGACACUGCAGGUCAAGAGGAGUACAGCGCCAUGAGGGAUCAGUACAUGAGGACGGGGGAGGGCUUCCUGUGUGUCUUCGCCAUCAACAAUACCAAGUCUUUUGAGGACAUUCACCAGUAUAGAGAACAGAUUAAGCGUGUUAAGGAUUCCGAUGAUGUUCCCAUGGUCCUUGUGGGAAACAAAUGUGACCUCCCUGCGCGCACGGUGGACACGAGGCAAGCCCAUGAGCUCGCUCGCUCCUAUGGCAUCCCCUACAUUGAGACCUCUGCCAAAACACGGCAGGGAGUAGAGGACGCCUUCUACACACUGGUUAGAGAGAUCAGGCAGCAUAAGUUGAGGAAGUUGAACCCACCCGAUGAGAGUGGUCAAGACUGUAUGAGCUGUCGCUGUGUGGUGUCGUGAUGCAGGGUGGGAGCUGGCCUCUUCCAAGCCCCCAACCAUAGAGUACAAGCAGCCACUGAUUGAUGACUCACUGCUACAUGUUGAGAAACGCUACGGCACAAAGUGGCAGCAUGGACUUAAGGACUGGAAGAUGAAACAACCCAACGAUGAAAACAAAAACUUUUCCAACAAAAGGAUGAUUGAAACAAAAGCCCUGACAGAAACCAUCAGGGCUGACUGAACUAUAGACUUGUAUGGAAAGGGGAAUAUUGGACAGUUGCCUAAGUGGCUAGCGGAACUAGACUGGUCCAGCCCCAUCUUUUUUGUUGGUCCACAUCGACCUGUGAGCAACACCACUAAUGACUCUUUGUCAGCUGCAAUGUGGCAUCGCUGGGUAGCUCCACAACUUUCCUGCUAACUUAUUGUUUUCAGUCUCAACACUGGUAAUUGGGGGGGCGGGUAUCUCACCUCCGCCCUCCUUAAAAGCCUGAUUCCACUCCCCAUCCCCCACCUAGCUGCUGGAAGGAAUGAGUGACUUCAGUGGAAAGAACUGGAAUUGACUUUUAGUUAACCCAACACCUCUCAUGCUAACCCAUCCCAUUCCCGCUUCACCCUACCUGCCUUUGGUUUCUUUUGAAUGGCAAUGAAAUCCCUGCGCUCUAACUGGAUACAGGGGGUGGAUGCUGACAUGGGAAAGACUGUAUUUUUUGUUGUUUAUCAAUUAGCCUACCUGUAAAAUAACAAAAAA